GUAUUCUCCGGCUUCACUCCUACAAAGAGUGUAAAACAUAAAUUAAUAAGUCACCUUUCUUAAUGUGUCGGGAUGCCCUGGAGGUUGGGCUGCAGGCACGCUGUCGACUGCCACUGUUUCCCCCGAGAAACCGAGGUGGACGGGAGGCAGCUCAGUCAUCCUCACCAAGAGCCUGCAAGGCUCACAUGCACCAGCUUGAGCUCCACUCGAAAUAUAGGGGGUGCUCCCAGCAGGGCUGCCGCAGUGUCCUCCAGUGCCCCCCAAACUGGAGGAAAGCCAGGUAGAAAUGUCACCGAACUGAUGCAGGACUGAUUCCAGUCAUUUUUCUGUGACUGGUCACGCCUGGGGCUCAGGUUCCUGUCAGUUUCCUGGUGCUUCUCUGCCUGCUCCGCAGACCGACUUUUCCAGUCUCUCCCGGGGUCCCCUGCUCACAGCUCUGACUCUCCUGACCUUCGCUCCACCACAGGAAUCCGACGGUCAGUGCAACUGUCCCUCGUGUGAGGAGGAAGGGAAGGCUGCCACCUGCAUUGGUCAGAAGUGACACUGGGGUCUUGACUGUGUUGUGCCAGAACGGAUACCCCGAGAUUGAGCUGGGACGAGGUUGCUCAGUGUGGGGUGAGAACGGACCAAGUGACGAGAGAAAACCAGGGCACACAUUGCUCCCCCCCAACUCGUCUCACCACCAGCCCACCCCGACUCACUCGGCUCCGUCCCCUGGGUGCAGCUCCGCCCCGUAGCCCUGAUGCAGUGACUCGGCCUGCCCUCUGCACUUGGACUUGGACCUGCUGUAUCCUUUUCUAUCUUUGACUGCUUCUUCCAUGCACAUUCCCAUUACAGAGUUUGUCCCUGCAGACGAGCAGCACAGACUUUCAUGUCCGUCUCUCUGCUGCUGUGGACUGUGAGUUCGCGGGAAGCAGACACGGGGAAGUACACGGGUUUGGGGUCAGUCCGAACUGCCGGCGCUCGGCCACUCUCUCCACAAGGAAGCUGAAACUUCCCCUCUGACCCACUUUUCUUAUCUACACAAUGAGGAGAAGAAUGCCUCCUCCUCACUGGUGAAGCCCUGGCCAGGCGGCUCAGUUGGCUGGAGUGUCAAUCUGUACACCCGAGGUUGGCGGGUUUGGUUCCCGGUCAGGGUGCAUGCCUAGGUUGCUACUUUGGUCCCCGAUUGGAGGGUGUGUGGGAGGCAACCCACCGAUGUUUCUCUCUCAAACAGACGUCUCCCUCUCUCUCACUUUCCCUCUCCCGGAGUCUAUCCUUGGCUGAGGGUUAAACAACAUACCUGCAGUGAAGAAUGUUGUAAGGAUUAAGUGGGAUGACUCACAGCAGGAGUUUAGCACGUGCUUGGCACACGAGGCUGGUAGCUCCCGCUGUUCACGUGGUUCCCUGGGGCCCCGCCCAGGCCCGCACGCAGUGGGCGCCCCGUGGCACUGUCUCAGUGUGCGGGAGGGUCACUGGGACUGCACCCGUGUCCCUCGGGCAGCACAGGGCUGGUGGGGCCACGUGCCUUGGGGGUGUCCGAGUCCCGGGUCUGGGAUAACAAGGCACAGCUGCCCUCUGACCGUGAGUCAGGCGUCCCUGGGGCCGCUUACAUGCCACCUGAGAGCCGUGGGCCAUCCAGGGGAUCAGUUCCCGGUCGCCAGCUGAGGGAGCCAGACUUCCCCCCAACAGUCACAGGACAGGAGGGGCCGUUGCCCUGUGAUAAGGUGUGUGGCCCACGGACAACAGGACUGCCCCCGGGGCCUCCGGGUGGAGCAAGGCCCGAAGAGGGUGUGGCAGCCCCGUUGGUUCAAGGCCAAGGGUAGAGGUUUGGUCUGGCAGUGACUGAGCAAACACGCGGGUGAAGCCUGCGGCAGGACGUCACGUCCCAGCAUAAAAACCAGCGUCAAAUGACUGAGACGACCAGCAGCCCAGCCACCCAGGUCCCUUCAGCUCGGUCGUCUGACACCCGAGUCCAGAUUCGGGGCAUCCUCACCGUUCCCACCACGCUUCGCUCAGGUUGGUGAGAACGCCCCGUUCCGCCCCCGCCCUGGCUGAGCGGCAGUGGGGCAAGAGCCGGCGUGUCUGGGAGGACGGUCUACAAUGUAAAGACCAAAACGGAAAGCCUGCCGAGAGGGAGGUUUAUAUAAAAAUAAUUGAAGUGAUCGGCUUAUGUUAGGAAUGUAGGUUCUAUAGCAUUCUUGGGGAACGUGACGGUCCCAGCCACGUUUAAGCCAGAUAUAUAUCUUAUACAUCUCCUAAUGAAUGUAAACCUUCCGGGGGCUUCAGGUGAUCCCUUGACAUUUGGGCCGAUGUUUGGCUCUGAACGUUUACACGAGCGUGACAGUGAUAAAGGCAGGACGUCCGUUACCCCGGCGUUCCCACGAAGCCAGUGUGGGAGCGGGGGCGUGCCAGCUGCUGGCCGCGGGAGCUGUGUCGGGCCUUCCCUUGGCCGGGAACAGCUGGACUUGCAGUGGCCGGAGGUGACAGGGCUGGCCUGCAGGGGCCAUGGCAAAGACGUGCAGCCAAGGGGAGCCGUGAGCAGCUAGGCAGAGGGCUCAGAGACCUGCAGCGACACCGAGGCCUUCCAGUGUGGUCCUGGGCGCAUGCAUGUCCCAGGGUCACACAGGCCUGGAGCUCAGACCAACCAGGUCAGGACGAGGCUGACACAGAUGGAAAACAGGUCAAAACCCAGGCGGCAAAUAACAUGUCUGCGUGCCAUUUGUACUUGAAUCCUGCCCCAAAGCCGUUGGCAGCCCCUGAACGACCCUGCGGUGGGGACAGGAUGCCUGUGGGGCCACAUGGGGUCUUGAACAAUAUCCAUCUGGGGACCCAGAAGUCACACAUGCCCAGGUCACGGUACCAUGUUUGCCCCCCCCACAAAAAUCAAAGCCUGGUUCUCCAUCAUUAUUCCCUCUCAGGAAAAUGUUGAUGUUCAAGAUUUCCUCUUGUGUAUUAUUUCUCAUUAUCACAACAGAGGAGCAUU